AGCGAGCCGGCGAGCGACCGAGGUAAAGGUAUCGCGCCUUAGUCAGAGGCCACCAAAGUUGGAUUUCGUUUUGUAGUAAAGUACCCUAUGAUCAUCUUUUGUAUUUGAUGAUUCUGAAUGUUAAUGUAUAAGACAAAGAAAAGGAUGUAAUGUGUAUUUUGAGGUAAAAGUGAUGUAAGAAAGAAAUGAUGGAGUGAUGUAAUGAAAUGCAAAGAAUCCAAAAUGUAAGUUAUGAAAGCAUGUAU
rnacentral:lncRNA from 1 species